rnacentral:rRNA from 31 species
CAACUUUCAGCAACGGAUCUCUUGGCUCUCGCAUCGAUGAAGAACGCAGCGAAAUGCGAUAAGUAAUGUGAAUUGCAGAAUUCAGUGAAUCAUCGAAUCUUUGAACGCACCUUGCGCUCCUUGGUAUUCCGAGGAGCAUGCCUGUUUGAGUGUCAUUAAUA